rnacentral:lncRNA from 1 species
UUUGCUUCUCAUGGCAGUGGCUCCAUGGCAGGCCUGCUGGCUCUCAACAUUCAGCUAUUUUCCAUGUCCUCCACUAGGAACACGUGGAAACUUUUGGAUCAGUCUAUGCCAGAUAAGGGGAAUCGACUUGCCUAAGUUUACACAGUGAAUGAAUGGAUUACCUCCUACUCACCUAAACCAGCCAUCCUGAAGAUAAGGUGAGCAAUGGAUUGUCACCGUCCACACUCCCUUUCUUCCUCAAACAAGCUCUCAGAUUCCUCACCAUUCACACCUUUCUUUCGCUAUAGUUGCCCACACCACUCUCCCACCCACUAUCUGGUCUCUUCUUAAUAUUUCCCUUUCCAAUGCUGCUCGCCUUUCCACCACUGUACCCACCGUCAAUUUUUCUAUUAAUUCUAUAAUUCUAUAA